UACGAAGGGGGCUAGCGUUGCUCGGAAUCACUGGGCGUAAAGGGCGCGUAGGCGGCCAUUCAAGUCAGGGGUGAAAGCCUGUGGCUCAACCACAGAAUUGCCUUUGAUACUGUUUGGCUAGAGACCGGAAGAGGUAAGUGGAACUGCGAGUGUAGAGGUGAAAUUCGUAGAUAUUCGCAAGAACACCAGUGGCGAAGGCGGCUUACGUGGUCCGGUUCUGACGCUGAGCGCGAAAGCGUGGGAGCA
rnacentral:rRNA from 1 species